GUUCUUGGGGCUUGUGUGUGUGUCUUAGCAUGUUCAGGCUGCACCCACAACAAUGCACAGAGAGCCAGCAGGCACAGCAAUCAGUUUUUGUUUGCUCGGACUCUGGGUUCUUGGUUUGACUGAUUCUCUCUGUAGCCACCAGAAAGCUACCGGAAGAAUGAGCUUCUUCCAUCACAGUGGGCAGAGCAUCAGAGUCUUGCACAAUACCAUUGGGACAAUUGGGGCACUAGGAGGACACCAAGAAAAACAGUCUGAGAGACUUGGAAUCCACCAGAACACUGCCCGAGCAGCUGUGAACCUAUGUCACUAGGCCUUGAAUGUUAUAGGUGGUAAUCACAGUAAUUUGGACAUCACUGUAACCAGGUGCUUCCUGUUACGUUGGCUGUGUAAAGAGCAAAAGAUACAACAGAGACAAUUAUGGUAGGGGUGUUAGGACUGUGUGCUUUUUGCAGCAGGUAGUUCUGAGUUCUAACAACCAUGAAAUUCUUGGGUGGCCAAGGAUUUGUUGUACUAUAUGUUUAAAACACAAUAAAAUCUGC